AGUGACUUUUAAAUUCAUUGUUUUUUUCAAGGAAGUUUCCAUUCUUUUGAAAAGUUUGGAUUCCAAAGAGAAUGAAUAACUCAUCUUCACAUCAGAUGCUGGCCAGCCAGAUGGAAGGACUGCCAAGCACAUGCAGCUUGCAUAGCCAGAAGAUCACUCUGCCUAUCUGGAAAUCAUACCUUCACUCACUGGGGAGGUUCUGGGUGCUCUUUACAUCCUAAGAAGCAAGGCCCUCCCAAAUGAUUUCAAGAGCACUCGUGGCCAAUGACUAACAAUUAUGCUAAAUCAAGGUAUAAUUUUAAAAAUAUUUUCUCUUUUAUUCAUAUUGU
rnacentral:lncRNA from 1 species